rnacentral:lncRNA from 1 species
GAGUCUCCAGAGGCACUGCAGAAUGUCUAAGAAGCAACCUCAUUGUAUUCCCAAGACCUGGGAAUCCAGGUCUCGCAGAUAUGAUGAUACAAUCUAUAGCCAGUACAUCUCUUCAUGUGUAGUUUUCAAUGAAUACUAGGAUAAGCAACUAUCCCAGUCUUCCCAGGAUUGAGGGGCUUCUCCAGAUGCUGCACUUCCAGUGCUAAAAAUGAGAAACUGAAAUGAAUUAGUCACCCAAGGAAUGCUGACCCUGUGCUAUAUGAUCACAUUUACUCUUUAAAGCAAUGCUUUGAGGCCAAGCUAUAAAUAAAGGGUGGACUGACCUUGUCAACUGUUAAAUUGGAGCCAUGGUGCGUUACUUAGAACAUUGCGGAUGACCCCAAGCAGCACAGCAGACCAACGGCUGAGAAAGAGCUCAUUCGGCUCAUCUAACUAGGAUGCCGUCCUGCCAGAGCCCUGGGAGUUCUCAUCUCCUGGGGCAAGAGCAGCAUGCAACCCUUAUGAACCCAUCUUGAAGGGCAUUCGGGGAGCCCAAGACAAGACCAUUGGGAGCCUCAGGGUCACUUUGGGGGGUCUCUG